UUGACCUCAGUUCGGCCGGGAGCACCCGCUGAAGUUAAGCAUAUCAUAAGCGGA
rnacentral:rRNA from 1 species